UUGGUGAGUUUUUGACAUAUCUAGAAGAGAAUAAGAUUCUCUCUUAUUGGAAUCGACUUUGUUAGAUAUAGUUUGAUCCAUGAUGAAGUUUAAAAGUUUGCCAAUCUCCUUUUAAGGCUAUGCUCUUGAGACUAUUUAUUAUGUUCUGAACUAGAUUUUGAAUUAAUCAAUCGCAAUGACUCCAUAUGAGAUAUGGACUAUGCAUAAGCUGAUACUUUCUUAUCUUGGGGUUUGGGAGUAUUUGUUUUAUAUCGAGCAUUUGCAGAUCGAUUAGCUUAGAUCCC
rnacentral:lncRNA from 1 species